rnacentral:lncRNA from 1 species
AACUCAAGGCCAACAGGAGACUCUUUCUGAUACUUCUAAGACUUUCAUCUAAUUUAGACCCACCCAGGAUAAUUUCCUUUUUGAUCAACUCAAAAUCGACUGAUUUGCAAAAUCCCUUAACCUGGACGCAGUGGCUCACACCUUUAAUCCCAGCACUUUGGGAGGCUGAGGCAGGUGGAUCACUUGAGGUCAGGAGUUCCAGACCAGUCUGGCCAACAUGCUGAAACCCUGUCUCUGCUAAAAAUACAAAAAUUAGCCAGGCAUGGUGACAGGCACCUGUAGUUCCAGCUACUUGGGAGGCUGAGGCAAGAGAAUCGCUUGAACCCAGGAGGAGGAGGUUGCAGUGAGCCGAGAUUGCACCAUUGCACCCUAGGCUGGGCAACAGAGAGACUCCAUCUCAAAAAAAAAAAAAAAAAAAAGCCCUUAACCUUUUCCAUAAUACAAACCUUAAUCACAGGAAUGGCACCCAUCAUAUUCAUAGGUCCUGCUUGUCUUCAAAGGGAGGAAACCAUACAAGGGCCUGGGUCACUGGGAGGUCAUCUUAGAGAUCUGCCUGCCACAGGACCCCAAAAAAUGUGUCGGCUGAAAGAAGGAGUGAAGGCAUGUGUCCCAUUUGUCUUCACACUCCGAGUAAAACAUGGAAAAACAAAUCAAAACAUCUUCAGACUACAGACUUGUCUUUCUUUGUGUGAAUAGAGCAUUCUUUAUCCAAUUCCUUGUGGCUUGAAGUUUUCUUCUUGUUUGCCUUUCGACAUUUUUUAUGGCAAGUAUAUUUGUAUUAAUACUUUAUAUAUGAUAAAUGAUGAGCAUUUUCUUCUGUUUCUUUCAUUUUUUCUUUUUCUGAGAUAGGAUCUUUCAUCCAGACUGGAGUGUAGUGGUGGAACACAGCUCACUGCAGUCUCAGCCUGCUGGGCUUAAGCAAUCCUCCCACCUCAGCCUCUCAAGUAGCUCAGGCCACAGGUACCCCCACAUCCAGCUUUUUAUUUAUUUAUUGAGAAAGAGUCUUGCUCUGUCACCUAGGCUGGAGUGCAAUGGUAUGAUCUCAGCUCACUGCAACCUCCAACUCCCAGGUUCAAGCAAUUCUCAUACCUCCUCCCAAGUAGCUGAGAUUGGGUACCCACCGCCACGCCCGGAUAAUAUUUUGUAUUUUUAGUAGAAAUGGGGUUUCACCAUGUUGGCCAGGCUGGUCUCGAACUCCUGACCUCAGGGACCUCAGGUGAUCUACCUACCUCGGCCUCCCAAAGUGCUGGGAUUAUAGGCAUGGGCCACUGCACCCAGCCCCAGCUAAUUUUUUAAAAAUGUUUUUGUAGUGACAGGGUCUUGCUAUGUUGCCCAGACUGGUCUCAAACUCCUAGGCUCAAGCAAUCCUCCUGCCUCAGCCUCUGAAAAUGCUGGGAUUACAGGCCUGAGCCAAUGUACCUGGCCAUGAUGAGCUUUGUCUUAGAAACUGCUGGCGCUAGGUACUUUCUUAUUGGCAUUGCAACA